UGAAGAAAGUGAUGAACGUGAUUAAAUGGUGAUGGUGAAUUCCAUCUGAUCCGCUAAUAUUUUUCACUUCGCUACGUUCUUUCUGAUUCUUCC
rnacentral:snoRNA from 1 species